CGAUCCCUGCAUAUAUCUACGACACUGAUUGAGAACCAACACUCUCAAUUAAGGGAGUUCAACUUCGUUCGUGGCGAACAAGCCUUUCUGGCAACAGUGUAAGGAAGUUCAGCACGAGUGAGAGGACACCCAUCUGGUGAACUAAAGCGUUCUCCAAUCUCUCGUAGAAAUGUGGGGAUCUG
rnacentral:other from 1 species